AUGAACGCUAGCUACAGGCUUAACACAUGCAAGUCGAGGGGCAGCAUGGUCUUAGCUUGCUAAGGCCGAUGGCGACCGGCGCACGGGUGAGUAACACGUAUCCAACCUGCCGUCUACUCUUGGACAGCCUUCUGAAAGGAAGAUUAAUACAAGAUGGCAUCAUGAGUCCACAUGUUCACAUGAUUAAAGGUAUUCCGGUAGACGAUGGGGAUGCGUUCCAUUAGAUAGUAGGCGGGGUAACGGCCCACCUAGUCUUCGAUGGAUAGGGGUUCUGAGAGGAAGGUCCCCCACAUUGGAACUGAGACACGGUCCAAACUCCUACGGGAGGCAGCAGUGAGGAAUAUUGGUCAAUGGGCGAGAGCCUGAACCAGCCAAGUAGCGUGAAGGAUGACUGCCCUAUGGGUUGUAAACUUCUUUUAUAAAGGAAUAAAGUCGGGUAUGGAUACCCGUUUGCAUGUACUUUAUGAAUAAGGAUCGGCUAACUCCGUGCCAGCAGCCGCGGUAAUACGGAGGAUCCGAGCGUUAUCCGGAUUUAUUGGGUUUAAAGGGAGCGUAGAUGGAUGUUUAAGUCAGUUGUGAAAGUUUGCGGCUCAACCGUAAAAUUGCAGUUGAUACUGGAUAUCUUGAGUGCAGUUGAGGCAGGCGGAAUUCGUGGUGUAGCGGUGAAAUGCUUAGAUAUCACGAAGAACUCCGAUUGCGAAGGCAGCCUGCUAAGCUGCAACUGACAUUGAGGCUCGAAAGUGUGGGUAUCAAACAGGAUUAGAUACCCUGGUAGUCCACACGGUAAACGAUGAAUACUCGCUGUUUGCGAUAUACGGCAAGCGGCCAAGCGAAAGCGUUAAGUAUUCCACCUGGGGAGUACGCCGGCAACGGUGAAACUCAAAGGAAUUGACGGGGGCCCGCACAAGCGGAGGAACAUGUGGUUUAAUUCGAUGAUACGCGAGGAACCUUACCCGGGCUUAAAUUGCAGAUGAAUUACGGUGAAAGCCGUAAGCCGCAAGGCAUCUGUGAAGGUGCUGCAUGGUUGUCGUCAGCUCGUGCCGUGAGGUGUCGGCUUAAGUGCCAUAACGAGCGCAACCCUUGUUGUCAGUUACUAACAGGUUCUGCUGAGGACUCUGACAAGACUGCCAUCGUAAGAUGUGAGGAAGGUGGGGAUGACGUCAAAUCAGCACGGCCCUUACGUCCGGGGCUACACACGUGUUACAAUGGGGGGUACAGAGGGCCGCUACCACGCGAGUGGAUGCCAAUCCCAAAAACCUCUCUCAGUUCGGACUGGAGUCUGCAACCCGACUCCACGAAGCUGGAUUCGCUAGUAAUCGCGCAUCAGCCACGGCGCGGUGAAUACGUUCCCGGGCCUUGUACACACCGCCCGUCAAGCCAUGGGAGCCGGGGGUACCUGAAGUGCGUAACCGCGAGGAGCGCCCUAGGGUAAAACUGG
rnacentral:rRNA from 1 species